CACUGCAGGUGCAGGAGAAGAUAGGCCCACAGCCAUUGAUGCACUAGUUGAAAUGAAGAGGCUUGAAGUUGCUCGAGAACAUGGACUAGUUGAUUUGCCAGACGUCACACUUCCAAUGAGCACUUGGCGGUUAAUUCCUCAAUAUGCCUUGUUCGGAGUUGCUGAUGUGCUUACCAUGAUUGGUCUGCAAGAACUUUUCUAUGAUCAACCGGAGCAGAAAUGGCUGUCGACAGAGCAGAUAAAGACAGUGUAAUGCCCAGAUUUUGUGAGGCUGAACUGAGC
rnacentral:misc_RNA from 1 species